CAUGGAUGUCUGCAUGGGGCUUAGGGUUUCUCGACACUGCUUUGAGAAAUGCAGCCCACAGGCACAAAGCAGCCCUGUCCUCCUUCCAGCCUGCAGGGCCUGGUUCUACGUGGGAAGCCUCGGGGACAAAGAUGUGUCAAGGGAGGCUGAAACAGGCUCCUGCCCGCUCCUGCAAGCUCUCAAGAAGCACUGAUAAUGCAUCACAAGCCCCGUUUGGCACAGACAGGACCUGGCAGUUCACGUGGCUGGGCUUGUGACCAAGAGAAGGAAGCAAGUGAUUUCAAAAUCCAAGGCUGCAACCAACUGCCAGUGCGUUGCUCGAGGAAGAGCCUUGCCAAAUAUUUGAUGAAUAUUUGCUAAAUGUUUGUCUUGGAUAAACAUUUUUCAGUUUUAUAGUAA